rnacentral:rRNA from 1 species
GAUGAACGCUGGCGGCGUGCCUAAUACAUGCAAGUCGAGCGAACGGACGAGAAGCUUGCUUCUCUGACGUUAGCGGCGGACGGGUGAGUAACACGUGGAUAACCUACCUAUAAGACUGGGAUAACUUCGGGAAACCGGAGCUAAUACCGGAUAAUAUAUUGAACCGCAUGGUUCAAUAGUGAAAGACGGUUUUGCUGUCACUUAUAGAUGGAUCCGCGCCGCAUUAGCUAGUUGGUAAGGUAACGGCUUACCAAGGCAACGAUGCAUAGCCGACCUGAGAGGGUGAUCGGCCACACUGGAACUGAGACACGGUCCAGACUCCUACGGGAGGCAGCAGUAGGGAAUCUUCCGCAAUGGGCGAAAGCCUGACGGAGCAACGCCGCGUGAGUGAUGAAGGUCUUCGGAUCGUAAAACUCUGUUAUUAGGGAAGAACAUAUGUGUAAGUAACUAUGCACGUCUUGACGGUACCUAAUCAGAAAGCCACGGCUAACUACGUG